CUUGGCGGCAAUGGCAAGUAGGACCCACCCGAUCCCAUCCCGAACUCGGAAGUGAAACUGCUUAGCGCCGAUGAUAGUGUGGGGUUUCCCCAUGUGAAAGUAGGUCACUGCCAGGC
rnacentral:rRNA from 1 species